UGGUCAAGUUAUUAAGGGUGCAGGGCGGAUGCCUUGGCACUAGGAGCCGAUGAAGGACGUGAUAAGCUGCGAUAAGCUUCGGGGAGUUGCACGUAAACUUUGAUCCGAAGAUUUCCGAAUGAGGAAACUCACUUAGAGUAAUGUCUAAGUAUCAUUAAGUGAAUACAUAGCUUAAUGAGGGGAACUCAGGGAACUGAAACAUCUAAGUACCUGAAGGAAGAGAAAGAAAUUCGAUUCCGUAAGUAGCGGCGAGCGAACGCGGAUUAGCCCAAACCAAUAAAGUUUUCUUUAUUGGGGUUGCGGACAUAUCAUAACGAAGAGGUAUCGUAAUUGAAGAGGUUUGGAAAGACCCACCACAGAAGGUAAUAGUCCUGUAUGUUAAACGAGAAGACUUUAGAUAUGAUCCAGAGUACCACGGGACACGUGAAACCCUGUGGGAAGCAGGAGGGACCACCCUCCAAGGCUAAAUACUACCUAGUGACCGAUAGCGUAUAGUACCGUGAGGGAAAGGUGAAAAGAACCCCGGGAGGGGAGUGAAAUAGAACCUGAAACCCUGCACUUACAAGCUGUGGAAGCACAUUUCUUGUGUGACCGCGUACUUUUUGUAGAACGGGCCAACGAGUUACGUUAAGUAGCAAGGUUAAGCACUUAAGGUGCGGAGCCGUAGCGAAAGCGAGUUUUAACUGAGCGUUCAGUUACUUGACGUAGACCCGAAACCGGGCGACCUACCCAUGAGCAGGAUGAAGCGAAAGUAAAAUUUCGUGGAGGUCCGAACCCACGAGCGUUGAAAAGCUCGGGGAUGACUUGUGGGUAGCGGUGAAAUUCCAAUCGAGCCCGGAGAUAGCUGGUUCUCCCCGAAAUAGCUUUAGGGCUAGCCUCAAGGUGAGAGAUACGGAGGUAGAGCACUGAAUGUCCUAGGGGGUAUUGCACCUACCGAAGACUAUCAAACUCCGAAUGCCGUCAUCUUAUACUUGGGAGUCAGACUGUGGGUGAUAAGAUUCAUAGUCGAAAGGGCAACAGCCCAGAUCGUCAGCUAAGGUCCCUAAAUGUAAGUUAAGUGGUAAAGGAUGUGGGAUUGCACAGACAACCAGGCUGUUGGCUUAGAAGCAGCCACUCAUUCAAAGAGUGCGUAAUAGCUCACUGGUCGAGUGAUCCUGCGCCGAAGAUUUCCGGGGCUAAAACUUACUACCGAAGCUACGGCAUCAGUAAUGAUGGGUAGGGGAGCUUCCCAUACGGGUUGAAGCAUGACCGUAAGGACAUGUGGACAGUAUGGGAGUGAGAAUGUUGGCAUGAGUAGCGAGAUGUGGGUG
rnacentral:rRNA from 1 species